GCGAUGAGCUUAGAUGCAUAAGACGAGAUUGACGCGCCUUUUAGGCAAAGCACAAAUGUGGAGUGCUGUCUCUCGCCGCAUUACGCAGAGACGUCCGAUUCAUUCGGACGUC
rnacentral:sRNA from 1 species